AAAGCUUUCUCCGCCUUGGUGAAAUGUUUAUUCACAAAAGGUGCCAGCAACAAAAGAGUCAAUGUGAGAUCGCUGGAGAACACCCGUUAAUUGGUUUCAGAAGAUCUUUGAACGGGACUCAGAAACAAAUCAAACCGGUGUAAGUGAAGCCUCAUCUCUCCUGCCCACCGCCAUAGGCUACGAGUCUGCAGCAAAAGUCAGUCUCCAACACGGCACAUAUAAGGAAACAGGAAAAUUCCACCCAAAACGUUCUGAUCACCGGCUUUCCUACUGAAAUCCCCUCCCGGUCAGGAAGAGAAGAGGAGAAGCGAGACGGUGGUUUGCCGAGCUCUCUCCAACACACCGGGCUUGCGAAGGAAGGAUGGAGGCUGGAAGGGGAAUUAUUUUCUUUGCAGCUGCUCGAUGCCUAUGACCCAAAUUGGGGAAGCGUUUAAGGGAAACAGGGUGUCGUGGACCCGUAAACCCCACUGCAAUGAGAAGGGUGGAAUUGCUUGCUGCCUGCUGGAGAAAGAGAUGAACCCAGCUGCUGCUGCUGUAACGCGAUGCUCUACAGCCAAAAUGCCAUCACUGGGGAUUGCCUGCCCUCGCUCUCCUGAAGUGAGACCACGUCCACGCCACCGCCUCCACGCCCGAGGAACGAGAUUUCAGACAUAUCUGGUGAUGAGCUACUAAGAUACUCUGGAUGCUUCAGUCUCGCAGAAACUAAGUGCAAUGGGUAAUGUGGAGACAAUGAAACGAAAUUACCUUGGGUGCAGGUUUUUUUUUAUCCCUGUUUUUCAAGUGGUUGAAAGUUACUCUUUUUUGUCUUUCCCUUGAUACCUAGCAGGUGGCACACAGAAUGAAAAGUGAUGAGCUCACGGGUCUUGCAGGAGGUGGGUUUGACUCACCGUAGUCAAUACAAGCUUUGAUUUGGAGCAGGAGGAGGUCUACAAAUACAAGGGGUGUCAGCUGGCCCCUAAUGAAGACCUUCUGAUUGAGAUCAGCUGUGGUUUUGUGUGUGACUCCUGGCGUGCCUGUGCUCAGAAAGGGCUGCUCUGUUGCUGUCCUUUAUCAAACCUGUUAUCAGCGGGUUUCGAUACCUCCUGAUCUGAUACUGAAUGAUGGUGGCUGGGCUGGGGAACAACGUGGUGCAGCUUGUUUAUAGUAAUCUUUGGAGGAAAAAAAAAAGAUGGCUCUUCAUUAUAUCAGCAUUCCUGAUUAUGUGUUACAUA